UACGUAGGGUGCAAGCGUUGUCCGGAAUUAUUGGGCGUAAAGAGCUCGUAGGCGGUUUGUUGCGUCGGCUGUGAAAUCCCGAGGCUCAACCUCGGGUCUGCAGUCGAUACGGGCAUCACUGGAGUUCGGCAGGGGAGACUGGAAUUCCUGGUGUAGCGGUGAAAUGCGCAGAUAUCAGGAGGAACACCGGUGGCGAAGGCGGGUCUCUGGGCCGAUACUGACGCUGAGGAGCGAAAGCGUGGGGAGCAAACAGG
rnacentral:rRNA from 1 species